GUGGUGGUGUUAUCAGGUUAGUCCAGUACAGCUUGGUUCAGUAAUGGUGGUGUUAUCAGGUUAGUCCAGUACAGCUUGGUUCAGUAAUGGUGGUGUUAUCAGGUUAGUCCAGUACAGCUUGGUUCAGUAAUGGUGGUGUUAUCAGGUUAGUCCAGUACAGCUUGGUUCAGUAGUGGUGUUGUUAUCAGCUUGGUUCAGUAGUGGUGGUGUUAUCAGGGUAGUCCAGUACAGCUUGGUUCAGUAAUGGUGGUGUUAUCAGGUUAGUCCAGUACAGCUUGGUUCAGUAGUGGUGUUGUUAUCAGCUUGGUUCAGUAGUGGUGGUGUUAUCAGGUUAGUCCAGUACAGCUUGGUUCACUAGUGGUGGUGUUAUCAGGUUAGUCCAGUACCGCUUGGUUCAGUAGUAGUAGUGGUGGUGUUUUCAGGUUAGUCCAGUACAGCUUGGUUCAGUAAUGGUGGUGUUAUCAGGUUAGUCCAGUACAGCUUGGUUCAGUAAUGGUGGUGUUAUCAGGUUAGUCCAGUACAGCUUGGUUCAGUAAUGGUGGUGUUAUCAGGUUAGUCCAGUACAGCUUGGUUCAGUAGUGGUGUUGUUAUCAGCUUGGUUCAGUAGUGGUGUUGUUAUCAGCUUGGUUCAGUAAUGGUGGUGUUAUCAGGUUAGUCCAGUACAGCUUGGUUCAGUAGUGGUGUUGUUAUCAGCUUGGUUCAGUAGUGGUGGUGUUAUCAGGUUAGUCCAGUACAGCUUGGUUCACUAGUGGUGGUGUUAUCAGGUAAGUCCAGUACAGCUUGGUUCAGUAGUGGGGAUGUUAUCAGGUAAGUUCAGUACAGCUUGGUUCAGUAGUGGUGGUGUUAUCAGGUUAGUCCAGUACAGCUUGGUUCAGUAGUGGUGUUGUUAUCAGCUUGGUUCAGUAGUGGUGGUGUUAUCAGGUUAGUCCAGUACAGCUUGGUUCACUAGUGGUGGUGUUAUCAGGUUAGUCCAGUACCGCUUGGUUCAGUAGUAGUAGUGGUGGUGUUUUCAGGUUAGUCCAGUACAGCUUGGUUCAGUAAUGGUGGUGUUAUCAGGUUAGUCCAGUACAGCUUGGUUCAGUAAUGGUGGUGUUAUCAGGUUAGUCCAGUACAGCUUGGUUCAGUAAUGGUGGUGUUAUCAGGUUAGUCCAGUACAGCUUGGUUCAGUAGUGGUGUUGUUAUCAGCUUGGUUCAGUAGUGGUGGUGUUAUCAGGGUAGUCCAGUACAGCUUGGUUCAGUAAUGGUGGUGUUAUCAGGUUAGUCCAGUACAGCUUGGUUCAGUAGUGGUGUUGUUAUCAGCUUGGUUCAGUAGUGGUGGUGUUAUCAGGUUAGUCCAGUACAGCUUGGUUCACUAGUAUUGGUGUUAUCAGGUUAGUCCAGUACCGCUUGGUUCAGUAGUGGUGUUGUUAUCAGCUUGGUUCAGUAGUGGUGUUGUUAUCAGCUUGGUUCAGUAAUGGUGGUGUUAUCAGGUUAGUCCAUUACAGCUUGGUUCAGUAGUAGUGGUGGUGUUAUCAGGUUAGUCCAGUACAGCUUGGUUCAGUAAUGGUGGUGUUAUCAGGUUAGUCCAGUACAGCUUGGUUCAGUAAUGGUGGUGUUAUCAGGUUAGUCCAGUACAGCUUGGUUCAGUAGUGGUGUUGUUAUCAGCUUGGUUCAGUAGUGGUGUUGUUAUCAGCUUGGUUCAGUAGUGGUGUUGUUAUCAGCUUGGUUCAGUAAUGGUGGUGUUAUCAGGUUAGUCCAGUAUAGCUUGGUUCAGUAGUAGUGGUGGUGUUAUCAGGUUAGUCCAGUACAGCUUGGUUCAGUAAUGGUGUUAUCAGGUUAGUCCAGUACAGCUUGGUUCAGUAAUGGUGGUGUUAUCAGGUAAGUUCAGUACAGCUUGGUUCAGUAGUAGUGGUGUUGUUAUCAGCUUGGUUCAGUAGUGGUGGUGUUAUCAGGUUAGUCCAGUACAGCUUGGUUCACUAGUGGUGGUGUUAUCAGGUAAGUCCAGUACAGCUUGGUUCAGUAGUGGGGAUGUUAUCAGGUAAGUCCAGUACAGCUUGGUUCAGUAGUGGUGAUGUUAUCAGCUUGGUUCAGUAGUGGUGUUGUUAUCAGCUUGGUUCAGUAGUGGUGUUGUUAUCAGCUUGGUUCAGUAGUGGUGUUGUUAUCAGCUUGGUUCAGUAGUGGUGUUGUUAUCAGCUUGGUUCAGUAGUGGUGUUGUUAUCAGCUUGGUUCAGUAGUGGUGUUGUUAUCAGCUUGGUUCAGUAGUGGUGUUGUUAUCAGCUUGGUUCAGUAGUGGUGGUGUUAUCAGCUUGGUUCAGUAGUGGUGGUGUUAUCAGCUUGGUUCAGUAGUGGUGGUGUUAUCAGCUUGGUUCAGUAGUGGUGGUGUUAUCAGGUCAGUCCAGUACAGCUUGGUUGAGUAAUGGUGGUGUUAUCAGGUAAGUUCAGUACAGCUUGGUUCAGUAAUGGUGGUGUUAUCAGGUAAGUCCAGUACAGCUUGGUUCAGUAGUAGUGGUGUUGUUAUCAGCUUGGUUCAGUAGUGGUGGUGUUAUCAGCUUGGUUCAGUAGUGGUGGUGUUAUCAGCUUGGUUCAGUAGUGGUGUUGUUAUCAGCUUGGUUCAGUAGUGGUGUUGUUAUCAGCUUGGUUCAGUAGUGGUGUUGUUAUCAGCUUGGUUCAGUAGUGGUGGUGUUAUCAGCUUGGUUCAGUAGUGGUGGUGUUAUCAGGUCAGUCCAGUACAGCUUGGUUGAGUAAUGGUGGUGUUAUCAGGUAAGUUCAGUACAGCUUGGUUCAGUAAUGGUGGUGUUAUCAGGUAAGUCCAGUACAGCUUGGUUCAGUAGUAGUGGUGUUGUUAUCAGCUUGGUUCAGUAGUGGUGGUGUUAUCAGCUUGGUUCAGUAGUGGUGGUGUUAUCAGCUUGGUUCAGUAGUGGUGGUGUUAUCAGGUUAGUCCAGUGCAGCUUGGUUCAGUAGUGGUGGUGUUAUCAGGUUAGUCCAGUACAGCUUGGUUCAGUAGUGGUGUUGUUAUCAGCUUGGUUCAGUAGUGGUGGUGUUAUCAGGUUAGUCCAGUACAGCUUGGUUCAGUAGUGGUGUUGUUAUCAGCUUGGUUCAGUAGUGGUGGUGUUAUCAGGUAAGUCCAGUACAGCUUGGUUCAGUAGUGGGGAUGUUAUCAGGUAAGUCCAGUACAGCUUGGUUCAGUAGUGGUGGUGUUAUCAGGUUGGUUCAGUAGUAGUGGUGUUCUCUCUCUCUCGCUCCUUGAUCCACAUUCAUUGGGAGUCAUAUGUUUUUCUACUGCA